UCAUGUACUUGCACAAAGCAGUGAGGCUCAUGACCUGAUGAGGACUGCUGGUGGGUGAUGACAGUUUAAGUGAUCCCUAUAGUUCUGCUCAGUUGCACUGUUCAGAAUAUACAAAAUCUAACUUGAUUCAGAAAGCAACUACAUUAAACAUCAAGAGAAAGAUCAAGGACAGCAUAAGUAACAAGUCAGAGAUCCAAGAAGUGUUGUGCAACUGCUCUCUGUUAUCACUUUCUCUCUUAGAGUUCACUCCUGGUGGUAUGUGAGCUCAUGAUCCUCAGCAGGUCUUCAGGCAUUAUGCUCAGACUUGCCAUUGUGGCCAUGAGAACUCCUCAGCUGCAGAAGACAAAGGCAUGCUGCCCACACAAUACAUGGUUCCAGCAGCUGUGCCUUCCAUUGACUCAAGCUGGAAGAAAUGUAGAUCAAAUACCAACAAUAACAGAUCAAUGUUGUAAAUAUUAGCAUGAGAAAGAGUGCACCAAACUCCAAGUGUGUCUUUUUUGUCUGGUUGUAAUAAAGUUUCUCAAGAAUUUUGCACAUGGGGACAAGAGUGUGUAUGCACACGUAUUCUAAGCGCCUCAGAAACAGGCAGCAGCAUGUUUUCUUGUACAAAUAUUGACAAGAAUCCUUCAGUUUAUUUGGAAUUUUCCUAAGAAAGCGGCAACAAUACAGUAAUACCUCUUUGCUACUUUCCACACAGUUGUUUCAACUGCUGGCACCAGGAAAUCCUUUUUGUUUUAAUCAACACCACUUGGAGUGAUGACGUUUCCUUUUUUCUUUUAGUGACAGACAUGGUGCAUUUCCUUGCACAGAGUUCUCAUGAGAGACUUUUGUGCAUGUAUAUCCAACUGCAAAAGUGUAUUUGUGAGGUAGCUGAAAGAGGUCACUAUAUUUUCUUCUUCUAUUUUUCAUCCCAAUAC